rnacentral:rRNA from 1 species
GACGAACGCUGGCGGCGUGCUUAACACAUGCAAGUCGAACGGAAAGGCCCUGCUUUUGUGGGGUGCUCGAGUGGCGAACGGGUGAGUAACACGUGAGUAACCUGCCCUUGACUUUGGGAUAACUUCAGGAAACUGGGGCUAAUACCGGAUAGGAGCUCCUGCUGCAUGGUGGGGGUUGGAAAGUUUCGGCGGUUGGGGAUGGACUCGCGGCUUAUCAGCUUGUUGGUGGGGUAGUGGCUUACCAAGGCUUUGACGGGUAGCCGGCCUGAGAGGGUGACCGGCCACAUUGGGACUGAGAUACGGCCCAGACUCCUACGGGAGGCAGCAGUGGGGAAUAUUGAACGAUGGGCGGAAGCCUGAUGCAGCAACGCCGCGUGCGGGAUGACGGCCUUCGGGUUGUAAACCGCUUUCGCCUGUGACGAAGCGUGAGUGACGGUAAUGGGUAAAGAAGCACCGGCUAACUACGUG